AUCCUCUCUUUUUUCUUUAUAGCUUUUUUUGCCGGGAAAGUGAUUGAAACUUUGUCUCCUCGUUUUGAAAGUUGAAACCUUUAAACCUGUUUUUCUCUUUUGCCAAAUUCCGACCUAAGAAAAAAAGAAGAAGCAUAUGGGAUUGCUUCAAAAACCAGAAACCCGCCGGAUGAAUCCAAGUGUUUGAAACGGUCCCCUUUGUUAAAUAGCAACUAAUCAUAGAGAAAUGAUGACACAUCUCUCUCUUUUCUUUAUUUCACUCUUUCACUCUUUUGUCUCAUUUCUUGUAAGAACAUUAAUCAAAGCUUGUUGUCUUUUUAUGUUGCUAUGUCGCUCUCUCACCGAUCUGUUCCUCCUCGUUCAGUCCUU